CGGAAAUGAAAACUACAGUUAGACCUCUUUAUAACCACAUUUCAUUAUAACAAUCAAGUUCUCGUAAUCGAUUUUCGUCUCUCCUUCAAAAAUCUCAAUUGUAAGGCCUAUCUGAUUUUUCAAUCUCUCCUUCAACAAUUCCAAUAGUAAGUGCCCUGCCUCCUAUGCAAGGAUCCCAAAAAUUGGAUCAAUUGAGGAUCCACAACUUACAAGAAGUAUAAGAGAGACUAGUUCGAUGAUUUG
rnacentral:misc_RNA from 1 species